rnacentral:rRNA from 1 species
GAUGAAUGCUGGCGGCGUGCCUUAGGCAUGCAAGUCAAGGGGGUCUAGCUUGCUAGACAACCGGCAGACGGGUGAGUAACGCGUAGGAAUCUACCCCUAGGACCCGCAUAGCCCUCCGAAAGGAGGGGUAAUUUGGGAUGGUCUCGCAAGAGUAAAGAACUUAACGGUUCGCCAAGGGAGGAGCCUGCGUCCUAUCAGCUUGUUGGUGAGGUAAAAGCUUACCAAGGCUAUGACGGGUAGCUGGACUGAGAGGUCGAUCAGCCACAACUGCACUGAAACACGGGCAGUACAUCUACGGAUGGCAGCAACCGGGAAUAUUGCGCAAUGGGGGAAACCCUGACGCAGCGACGCCGCGUGAAGGAAGAAGGUCUAUGGAUUGUAAACUUCUUUUGCCAAGCCGUUCACAGCUUGGAGAAUAAGCCUCUACUAACUACGUGCCAGAAGUCUCGGUAAUACGUAGGAGGCAAGCAUUAUCCGGAUUCAUUGGGCGUAAAGUGUGCGUAGGCGGCGUAGUGUGUCGUAUCUUAAAGACCAAGGCUUAACCUCGGAUAUGGAUACGAAACUACUAUGCUAGAGGAUUGUUAGGGAUGCUAGAACAGUUAGUGUAGCAGUGAAAUGCGUUGAUAUUAACUGGAAUACCGAAGGCGAAGGCAGGCAUCUGGAAUUUUCCUGACGCUGAGGCACGAAAGCUAGGGGAGCGAAACAGAUUAGAUACCUGUGUAGUCCUAGCCGUAAACGAUGUCCGCUAGCUAUCACUCACAGAGUGAAUAAGAAUAACUUGUUCAUUGUGUGAGUGGUGGUGUAAGCUAACGCGUUAAGCGGACCGCCUGGGGAGUACGGUCGCAAGACUAAAACUCAAAGGAAUUGACGGGGACCCGCACAACCGGUGGAGCGUGUGGUUCAAUUCGAGACAAAACGAAGAACCUCACCAAGGUUUGACAUUUUACCGUUUAGCCCUGUAGAAACACGGGGUGAUCCUUUCAGGAUGGUAAAACAGGUGCUGCAUGGCUGUCGUCAGCUCGUGCCGUGAGGUGUUCCCUUAAGUGGGGAAACGAGCGCAACCCCCGCCAAAUGUUAAAUAAUCAUUUGGGACUAUCCUGCCUAUUCGGCAGGGGGGAAGGAGGGGAAGACGUCAAGUCAGCACGGCCCUUAUACCUUGGGCUACACACACACUACAAUGGCGAAGAACAACGUGUUGCCAACCAGCAAUGGUGCGCUAAUCACUGAAAUUUCGCCUCAGUUCAGAUUGGAGUCUGAAACUCGACUCCAUGAAGUCGGAAUCGGUAGUAAUCGCAGAUCAGCAAGCUGCGGUGAAUACGUUCUCGGGUCUUGUACACACCGCCCGUCAAGGCAGCAAAGUCGGGAGUGGCCGAA